rnacentral:rRNA from 1 species
UACGGGGGGGGCAAGCGUUGUUCGGAAUUACUGGGCGUAAGGGCUCGUAGGUGGCCAACUAAGUCAGACGUGAAAUCCCUCGGCUUAACCGGGGAACUGCGUCUGAUACUGGAUGGCUAGAGAUUGGGAGAGGGAUGCGGAAUUCCAGGUGUAGCGGUGAAAUGCGUAGAUAUCUGGAGGAACACCGGUGGCGAAGGCGGCAUCCUGGACCGGCAUUGACGCUGAUGAGCGAAAGCUAGGGGAGCAAACGGG